CCGGUCUUGGGUUUGUUCGCUCAAGAACCCAAUCUGCAUCAUCUUGUUUAUAGCCAGCUACAAACAUUUUGCAGCGUUUUACUAAACGUUUGUGAAGUGCUGUCAUAUACAACAUCUCGUAUGAUCCUUACAGAAGUCCCGAGUGAGAGUCUGUUUUGCGUUGGUAUUCACGGCUUGUGUUGCUGACAGUUCCCUGAAAGACACGGCAGGCUGCUUUACUAGACUUGAAAAAGUUUACCUAAAUCAGAAAACAAAUCUAAUGAAGCAAGUUUUGCUCAAGAAGGAACUUGAGUAAGGAGGUGGAAUUUAUCUUGGUGGAAGAGAGCAAGUAUCCCUACAUACAAUGCAGUUGAGAGAGAAAGCUCAAAAGGUGAUGCCCAGACCUAGAAAAAGGAUCCCUUCAGGCAUAAUGUAUCAACCAGAAAGAACGACUGUGAGGAUUAAAUGAGAUUUACCAGCAAAGUACAUUCUAUUUAGUAAGCUCUGAAAAGACACUCAGUUCCUUGCUGUUGUCUCCUUCAGUCCAUCCCGCAACAUUAUUGUUUCAGUCAGCUUUCUUUAUCUUAGAAUUUUAGCUUAUUUUUAUAUCACUUUCUAAUUAUAUUAUUUUGUGAUAUGUUUUCUCAAAUAUUAAUUUUUAUAACCUGAAGGCCAAAAGCAUAGAGAUAAGGGGAAUAGCCGUCAGAAUAAUCUAUUCACUAAACAAGAAAUGUUGAAUAUCUCUUUCCAGAUAGCUUUGCAAGUUCUUCCAUACUUAAGACUCAUUUAUUUAACAAAUAUUUGUUAAGCAAUUACUAUGUACCAAGUACUACAGUAGAUUUAAAGUAUUCAGCAUGGAGACAGACAUAAUUCCUCCACUAAAGGACUUUACAAUCCAGUGCAAAAGACAGAAUAAGUUAACAAAAAAAAAAAUUGCAAUAUAGUAUAAGUACAGGAGAAAAGCAUUGAGUGAUACAGGAGAAAGGACAAAGUGAUACAAAGAAAGGGCACUCAAUUCAAUCAGGGGAAGCUUCUAAAUAAGGUAACAUCUAAGCUGAAUCCUGAAUGUGAAUAAUGUGUAGAAGUUAGCUGGGAGAAUGGCAAGGAGAUUGUUGUAAAGAGGUUAGAAAUGGACUGCUACGGCUAGGCAUGGUGGCUCAUGCCUGUAAUUCCAACACUUUGGGAGGCCGAAGCAAG